UACGGAGGGGGCUAGCGUUGUUCGGAAUUACUGGGCGUAAAGCGCGCGUAGGCGGAUCUGCAAGUCGGGGGUGAAAUCCCGAGGCUCAACCUCGGAACUGCCUUCGAUACUGCGGGUCUCGAGUCCGGGAGAGGUGAGUGGAAUUCCUAGUGUAGAGGUGAAAUUCGUAGAUAUUAGGAAGAACACCGGCGGCGAAGGCGGCUCACUGGCCCGGUACUGACGCUGAGGCGCGAAAGCGUGGGGAGCAAACAGG
rnacentral:rRNA from 1 species